rnacentral:rRNA from 1 species
UACUAUUAAGUCCUAGCUAAUUUUUAAUAAACAUUUAAUAAUUAAAAAUUGUAAUUCAUGUUUACUUAAAUAUAAACUGCACCUUGAUCUAAUUUGAAUCCAAAAAUAAUAUUAAACCUUUAUUAAUAAAAUUUAUAAGCAAACGACGGUAUACAAGUUAAUUUAAUUUAAAUAAAAUAAUUCGUGGAUUGUCGAUCUAUAAACACAAAUUCCCCUAAUAAGUUUUAAAUUACCGUCAGGUUUUUUAGGUUUUG